rnacentral:lncRNA from 1 species
GAUAACACAGACCUCAAGAAUCCAAUUUCACUUCUCAGACCUACCAAAAGAAACUGCCUUCUGUUUAGAUAUGCAGGGUCAGCAUCAAGGUCUUCAUAGCAGCCGUAUCGGAGCCAAGAAGCUUUAACGGGACCGAGGCUGAGCCGCUGGUCAUCAAGAUCGGUUAAGCUAUAUAUGAAGCGCACAGCGACUGUAUUGAGUACAAUAAUGCACUUGUGAGGCAAAG